UACGGAGGGUGCAAGCGUUGUUCGGAAUCACUGGGCGUAAAGGGCGCGUAGGCGGCUUGGGAAGUCCGAUGUGAAAGCCCGGGGCUCAACCCCGGAAGUGCAUUGGAAACUCCUAGGCUUGAGUUCGGGAGAGGAAGGCAGAAUUCCCGGUGUAGGGUUGAAAUCCGUAGAUAUCGGGAGGAAAACCGGUGGCGAAGGCGGCCUUCUGGAACGAAACUGACGCUGAGGCGCGAAAGCGUGGGGAGCAAACAGGAUUAGAGACCCUGGUAGUCCACGCUGUAAACGAUGGAUGCUGGGUGUGGGGUCCAAACCGGGGCUCCGUGCCGAAGCUAACGCAUUAAGCAUCCCGCCUGGGGAGUACGGUCGCAAGACUAAA
rnacentral:rRNA from 1 species